AGCAAAUGGAAGAGCAGGAGCAGACUGUCCCCAGCCUCUCUCCCGUGCCCCCACCCAGCGACAGCUAAAACAUUUCACUCGUCAGUCAGCGCUGGAAUUCUUGAGGGGCCAGGGAGCAAUUUGCAAAGGUGGAAAGAACAUGAAGCCAGACAAGACUGGCCACGUAAACCUGUAAGCCUUGUUUGGGACAGGAACCAAGGCUGAGGUGAAACCCCCUGCCUUCAGAAGACGAUCACAGCGGAUGAAUGAAUUAGUCUUGGAAAUGUUUUCAGCAGGUGAUCUGCUUGACUCAUUAGGAGAACUAUCUGGUUCAUUAGCCGAUAUACCUGGUUC
rnacentral:lncRNA from 1 species